UAAGGAAUAUUGCUCAAUGGGAGAAAUCCUGAAGCAGCAACGCCGCGUGGAGGAUGAAGGGUCUAUGACUUGUAAACUCCUGUAAAGAAGGAAAAAAUUCCCAUUUGAUGGGAGAUGAUGGUACUUCUGGAGUAAGCCCCGGCUAACUACGUGCCAGCAGCCGCGGUAAUACGUAGGGGGCAAGCGUUGUCCGGAUUUACUGGGUGUAAAGGGUGCUCAGGCGGAUUUGUAAGUCAGAGGUGAAAUCUUACAGCUUAACUGUGAAACUGCCUUUGAUACUGCAAGCCUAGAGUAUGGAAGAGAGUGAUGGAAUAUCUGGUGUAGCAGUGAAAUGCGUAGAUAUCAGAUAGAACACCAAUGGCGAAGGCAGUCACUUGGUCCAGUACUGACGCUAAAGCACGAAAGCGUGGGUAGCAAACA
rnacentral:rRNA from 1 species